rnacentral:tRNA from 1 species
GACCCCGUAGCUCAGUUGGCAGAGCAUCGGACUUUUAAUCCGUGGGUCGGAGGUUCGAUCCCUCCCGGGGUCA